CCUACGGGAGGCAGCAGUGAGGGAUAUUGGUCAAUGGGGGAAACCCUGAACCAGCAACGCCGCGUGAGGGAAGAUGGUUUUCGGAUUGUAAACCUCUGUCCUCUGUGAAGAUAAUGACGGUAGCAGAGGAGGAAGCUCCGGCUAACUACGUGCCAGCAGCCGCGGUAAGACGUAGGGAGCAAGCGUUGUCCGGAGUUACUGGGUGUAAAGGGUGCGUAGGCGGCUUUGCAAGUCAGAAGGGAAAUCCAUGGGCUUAACCCAUGAACUGCUGUUGAAACUGCAGAUCUUGAGUGGAGUAGAGGUAGGCGGAAUGCCCGGGGUAGCGGUGAAAUGCGUAGAGAUCGGGAGGAACACCAGUUGCGAAGGCGGCCUACUGGGCUCUAACUGACGCUGAGGCACGAAAGCGUGGGUAGCAAACAGGAUUAGAUACCCGGGUAGUC
rnacentral:rRNA from 1 species